rnacentral:rRNA from 1 species
UACGGAGGGUGCGAGCGUUGUCCGGAAUCACUGGGCGUAAAGGGCGCGUCGGCGGCCUGAUCCGUCGGGGGUGAAAUCCUGCGGCUUAACCGCAGGGCUGCCUUCUAAACUGUCAGGCUUGAGCACAGUAGAGGCAGGUGGAAUUCCCGGUGUAGCGGUGGAAUGCGUAGAGAUCGGGAAGAACAUCAGUGGCGAAGGCGGCCUGCUGGGCUGUUGCUGACGCUGAGGCGCGACAGCGUGGGGAGCAAACAGG